CAGUCGCCGCGGUAAUACGGAGGGAGCUAGCGUUGUUCGGAAUUACUGGGCGUAAAGCGCGCGUAGGCGGUUACUCAAGUCAGAGGUGAAAGCCCGGGGCUCAACCCCGGAACUGCCUUUGAAACUAGGUGACUAGAAUCUUGGAGAGGUCAGUGGAAUUCCGAGUGUAGAGGUGAAAUUCGUAGAUAUUCGGAAGAACACCAGUGGCGAAGGCGACAUACUGGAUCAUUACUGACGCUGAGGCUCGAAAGCGUGGGGAGCAAACAGGAUUAGAUACCCCCGUAGUCCCUGUCUCUUAUAA
rnacentral:rRNA from 1 species